rnacentral:tRNA from 1 species
GAUUAGAUGGCUGAAAUUUAGGCAAUAGAUUGUAAAUCUAUUUAUGAGACUAUUCUCUCUAAUCA